GCCCUUAGAGUUUGAUCCUGGCUCAGGAUGAACGCUGGCGGCGCGCCUAACACAUGCAAGUCGAACGGCACCCCUCUCCGGAGGGAAGCGAGUGGCGAACGGCUGAGUAACACGUGGAGAACCUGCCCCCUCCCCCGGGAUAGCCGCCCGAAAGGACGGGUAAUACCGGAUACCCCGGGGCGCCGCAUGGCACCCCGGCUAAAGCCCCGACGGGAGGGGAUGGCUCCGCGGCCCAUCAGGUAGACGGCGGGGUGACGGCCCACCGUGCCGACAACGGGUAGCCGGGUUGAGAGACCGACCGGCCAGAUUGGGACUGAGACACGGCCCAGACUCCUACGGGAGGCAGCAGUGGGGAAUCUUGCGCAAUGGGGGGAACCCUGACGCAGCGACGCCGCGUGCGGGACGGAGGCCUUCGGGUCGUAAACCGCUUUCAGCAGGGAAGAGUCAAGACUGUACCUGCAGAAGAAGCCCCGGCUAACUACGUGCCAGCAGCCGCGGUAAUACGUAGGGGGCGAGCGUUAUCCGGAUUCAUUGGGCGUAAAGCGCGCGUAGGCGGCCCGGCAGGCCGGGGGUCGAAGCGGGGGGCUCAACCCCCCGAAGCCCCCGGAACCUCCGCGGCUUGGGUCCGGUAGGGGAGGGUGGAACACCCGGUGUAGCGGUGGAAUGCGCAGAUAUCGGGUGGAACACCGGUGGCGAAGGCGGCCCUCUGGGCCGAGACCGACGCUGAGGCGCGAAAGCUGGGGGAGCGAACAGGAUUAGAUACCCUGGUAGUCCCAGCCGUAA
rnacentral:rRNA from 1 species